rnacentral:rRNA from 1 species
UACGGAGGGGGCGAGCGUUAUUCGGAAUUACUGGGCGUAAAGCGCGCGCAGGUGGCUGGGUAAGUGGCAGGUGAAAUCCCUUGGCUCAACCGAGGAACUGCCUGCCAAACUGCUCUGCUUGAGGCCGGGAGGGGGAAGCGGAAUUCCUGGUGUAGCGGUGAAAUGCGUAGAUACCAGGAGGAACACCGGUGGCGAAGGCGGCUUCCUGGACCGGUUCUGACACUCAUGCGCGAAAGCGUGGGUAGCAAACAGGAUUAGAUACCCCUUGUAGUCC